UACGUAGGGUGCAAGCGUUAAUCGGAAUUACUGGGCGUAAAGCGUGCGCAGGCGGCUUUGCAAGACAGAUGUGAAAUCCCCGGGCUUAACCUGGGAACUGCAUUUGUGACUGCAUGGCUGGAGUGUGGCAGAGGGGGGUGGAGUUCCACGUGUAGCAGUGAAAUGCGUAGAGAUGUGGAGGAACACCGAUGGCGAAGGCAGCCCCCUGGGCUAACACUGACGCUCAUGCACGAAAGCGUGGGGAGCAAACAGG
rnacentral:rRNA from 1 species